GAGGAAGAUCGACCAGAGCUCUCUCUCUCUUCUCUAGGCAUGUGCUCUGAGAAAAGGUCAUCUGAGGACAAAGUACCCGUCUGCAAGCCAGGAAGAGAGCCCUUGCCAGAAACUAAACCCCGCUGGAAACUUGAUUUUGCGCUUUCCAGCCUCUAGAACUGUGGACACCGAAAUUCUUUGCCUGAAAACCUUUUAAAAAUAUGAAAACAAGACAAAAAAUGGCUGGGUUUUCUUUUAGAGUGGCAAUGUCAUUUGUCCAGAAGGGGGAGCUCUCAGUCCGCAUGCAGCGGAGCAAGGCAGACAGUCUGGUAUCUUAUCUGCUGCUUGGGAAAUUGUCUGACAGGAAAAUAUCAACACAAACCAUGCGAUUUGCCGCUGGAGCACGCUGGACCUCAUCUGCUUAAAAAGAUGCACGGAUAUAGUCAUCACAGUUCAUAAUUUAAUAAACUGCUAAAAAAACCACACAUUUUCAUUUUAGCGACUUUGGUCUCACAACUAAAUUCACAUUGCUACAAAGACAUUUGAAUUUUGCACUAAUAUGUCAUGAGCACUGCACCCAUUGCAAAUUAAUGAGUCUCUGAAUAGCACUGUGCAUUUGUCAUUUGAAUUUAUGCUAAUGCAGUGAGGUCUCCUGGUGAUGCUGAUAGUCCAUAGCAGCUGCUUGAACCACAAAAUAUAUCGGCACUUCCCUUCUACUUUAUAUUGCUACCUCCUUUUUUGGCUUUUCUGGCCUGUCACUUAGGCAGAAAUUCUGUAACUGGUUAUUGAUAGGGCUGCUAAUUAUCUGUGACUUUACACUAUUGGCCUAACCCCCAACACUGAGAAGAAGUAAUGGAUCAGUGUUGAGAGAAUUAUGUACAUCACAUAGAGACAGUCUCAGACCAGGAGGUCAGGAGGAGUUCACUGAGAACCAAUGGUAUUUAUAAAGGAUGUUAUAUGUAAAUUGGCAAUAUUUUUUCAGUGAUAUCAUGUCAUUUAUAUCAAUAAAUCAAUCUAAGAAA
rnacentral:lncRNA from 1 species